rnacentral:tRNA from 1 species
GCGUCAGUGGUGUAGUGGUAUCAUGUAAUCUUCCCAAGGUUAAGACUCGGGUUCAAUUCCCGGUUGACGCA